rnacentral:rRNA from 1 species
AUGAACGCUAGCGACAGGCCUAACACAUGCAAGUCAGGGGCAGCACAAGGAGCAAUCUGAGGUGGCGACCGGCGCACGGGUGAGUAACACGUAUGCAACCUGCCUGUAAGCGGGGAAUAACCCGUUGAAAGACGGACUAAUACCGCAUAAUACUAAAUUACUGCAUGGUAAUUUAUUUAAACAUUUAUGGCUUACAGAUGGGCAUGCGCAUGAUUAGCUAGUUGGAGAGGUAACGGCUCCCCAAGGCAACGAUCAUUAGGGGUUCUGAGAGGAAGGUCCCCACACUGGUACUGAGACACGGACCAGACUCCUACGGGAGGCAGCAGUGAGGAAUAUUGGUCAAUGGACGAGAGUCUGAACCAGCCAAGUCGCGUGCAGGAAGAAUGUCCUAUUGGGAUUGUAAACUGCUUUUGCAGGGGAAUAAAGUGCAUCACGUGUGAUGUUUUGUAUGUACUCUGCGAAUAAGGAUCGGCUAACUCCGUGCCAGCAGCAGC